rnacentral:rRNA from 1 species
CCUACGGGUGGCUGCAGUGAGGAAUAUUGGUCAAUGGACGAGAGUCUGAACCAGCCAAGUCGCGUGAAGGAUGAAGGCUCUAUGGGUUGUAAACUUCUUUUAUCAGGGAAUAAAGACGGGGAUGCAUCCCCGCUUGUAUGUACCUUAUGAAUAAGCAUCGGCUAACUCCGUGCCAGCAGCCGCGGUAAUACGGAGGAUCCGAGCGUUAUCCGGAUUUAUUGGGUUUAAAGGGAGCGUAGGUGGAUUGUUAAGUCAGUUGUGAAAGCACGCGGCUCAACCGGAGAAGUGCAGUUGAAACUGGCAGUCUUGAGUACAGGAGAGGUGUGCGGAAUUCGUGGUGUAGCGGUGAAAUGCUUAGAUAUCACGAAGAACUCCGAUUGCGAAGGCAGCUCACUGGACUCCAACUGACGCUGAGGCGCGAAAGUGUGGGUAUCAAACAGGAUUAGAUACCCGGGUAGUC